rnacentral:tRNA from 1 species
GGGGAUGUGGCUCAAGUGGUAGAGCGCUCUCCUGGUAUGCGUGCGGCCUGGGUUCGAUCCUCAGCACCACA